UAGGGAAUCUUCCGCAAUGGGCGAAAGCCUGACGGAGCAACGCCGCGUGAGUGAUGAAGGUCUUCGGAUCGUAAAACUCUGUUAUUAGGGAAGAACAAAUGUGUAAGUAACUAUGCACGUCUUGACGGUACCUAAUCAGAAAGCCACGGCUAACUACGUGCCAGCAGCCGCGGUAAUACGUAGGUGGCAAGCGUUAUCCGGAAUUAUUGGGCGUAAAGCGCGCGUAGGCGGUUUUUUAAGUCUGAUGUGAAAGCCCACGGCUUAACCGUGGAGGGUCAUUGGAAACUGGAAAACUUGAGUGCAGAAGAGGAAAGUGGAAUUCCAUGUGUAGCGGUGAAAUGCGCAGAGAUAUGGAGGAACACCAGUGGCGAAGGCGACUUUCUGGUCUGUAACUGACGCUGAUGUGCGAAAGCGUGGGGAUCAAACAGG
rnacentral:rRNA from 1 species